UACGUAGGGCGCAAGCGUUAUCCGGAAUUAUUGGGCGUAAAGAGCUCGUAGGCGGUUUGUCGCGUCUGCCGUGAAAGUCCGGGGCUCAACCCCGGGUCUGCAGUCGAUACGGGCAGGCUAGAGUUCGGUAGGGGAGAUCGGAAUUCCUGGUGUAGCGGUGAAAUGCGCAGAUAUCAGGAGGAACACCCGUGGCUAAGGCGGUUCUCUAGUACGGUACUGACGCUGAGACGCGAAAGCGUGGGGAGCGAACAGG
rnacentral:rRNA from 1 species